rnacentral:rRNA from 1 species
UACGAAGGGUGCAAGCGUUAAUCGGAAUUACUGGGCGUAAAGCGUGCGCAGGCGGUUUUGUAAGUCAGAUGUGAAAUCCCCGGGCUCAACCUGGGAAUGGCGAUGGAUACUGGCGAGCUAGAGUGUGUCAGAGGAUGGUGGAAUUCCCGGUGUAGCGGUGAAAUGCGUAGAGAUCGGGAGGAACAUCAGUGGCGAAGGCGGCCAUCUGGGACAACACUGACGCUGAAGCACGAAAGCGUGGGGAGCAAACAGG